GCUUGUUGGGAGGUGAGGUGCAACAACACAGCGAGAAACUUCAAAAGCGUGGGGUCAAUGAUGCAGACUACUUGACACAAGCAUUCACUGAGAUUGGUUCUGUUGUGGACAGUUCUUGACAUGCUUGCAGCAACAGGAAAUGCUAUCCAAUCUUUUGGUUGCCUGCCAACUGCAGCAUGGCCUUUGGCAUGAUGCUGCAGGACCUCCCGAAGAUUUUCAGCCAGUGCACCUAAUGCUCACUUCUAAUUGAAUGGUACAAACAUUUAUACAGUAAUACUAAAUCGACCAUCAGGCAAACUUUUUCAAAUGGAGUAGACAGACUGUAAAGGCUGCAUAUAUAUCUUUCUUCCUUUUUUCCUUAUUUAUAUAGGUGCCAAAUAAACA